AUGUGGUUUGUUUCAGGCAUGGGAUCUGCCGAUGACGGCCUAGAUGACGCCGACAGGAUCGUCUACCCGAGCAGCUACAUGGAGAGCACACUGUACGCGGUGAGGAACGGAGCGGACGUGAGAGGCUACUUCGCGUGGGCGUUCCUGGACAUGUUCGAGCUCCUGUCAGGGUACCAGUCGAGUUUCUCUGUACAACGUACCCAUGUGAACAUGAUAGCGGGACUGAGGUUAGGGAAGGAUUACGCCCCUAAGGUGGAAUCUGCAAGUACCAGCGAGCAGGAGCAGCUCUCGGGCGUGCUCCCUUACUCCUCCCCCUCACGAUCCAGAUGCAGCAGCAGCUCGCCGGCGGCAAGCAGGUGGUGGGCUCCUAAACUCCUUCCCCCUCAUGUUCAACAACAAGGUAUACUGCUCCACUCCCCUCCCCCAUCUCUCUCUUACAGAUUUGAACAGAGCCGACGCGAGGGGCUACUUUGCAUGGGCGUUCAUGGACCUAUUCGAGCUCCUGCCAGGGUACUAGUCGAGGUAUGGGCUGUACCGCGUCGACUUGGCCGACGAGAGGCGACCGCGGCAAGCCAGGCUCUCGGCUCGCUGGUACGCUGGCUUCCUCAAGCAUAA
rnacentral:rRNA from 1 species